rnacentral:rRNA from 1 species
AACGAACGCUGGCGGCAGGCUUAACACAUGCAAGUCGAACGCACCGCAAGGUGAGUGGCAGACGGGUGAGUAACGCGUGGGGACCUACCCUUUGGUUCGGAAUAACUCAGGGAAACUUGAGCUAAUACCGGAUAAGCCCUUCGGGGGAAGGAUUUAUCGCCAUAGGAUGGGCCCGCGUCGGAUUAGCUAGUUGGUAGGGUAAUGGCCUACCAAGGCAACGAUCCGUAGCUGGUCUGAGAGGAUGAUCAGCCACACUGGGACUGAGACACGGCCCAGACUCCUACGGGAGGCAGCAGUGGGGAAUAUUGGACAAUGGGCGAAAGCCUGAUCCAGCCAUGCCGCGUGAGUGAA